UGGGGAAUAUUGGACAAUGGGGGGAACCCUGAUCCAGCGACGCCGCGUGAGUGAAGAAGUAUUUCGGUAUGUAAAGCUCUAUCAGCAGGGAAGAAAAUGACGGUACCUGACUAAGAAGCCCCGGCUAACUACGUGCCAGCAGCCGCGGUAAUACGUAGGGGGCAAGCGUUAUCCGGAUUUACUGGGUGUAAAGGGAGCGCAGACGGCUUGGCAAGUCUGAAGUGAAAGCCCGGGGCUUAACCCCGGGACUGCUUUGGAAACUGUGAAGCUAGAGUGUCGGAGAGGUAAGUGGAAUUCCCAGUGUAGCGGUGAAAUGCGUAGAUAUUGGGAGGAACACCGGUGGCGAAGGCGGCUUACUGGACGAUAACUGACGUUAAGGCUCGAAGGCGUGGGGAGCAAACAGGAUUAGAUACCCUGGUAGUCCACGCGGUAAACGAUGAAUACUAGGUGUCGGGGGACAUAGUCUUUCGGUGCCGCCGCUAACGCAUUAAGUAUUCCACCUGGGGAGUACGUUCGCAAGAAUG
rnacentral:rRNA from 1 species